ACUCAAAGGAAUUGACGGGGACCCGCACAAGCGGUGGAGCGUGUUGUUUAAUUGGAUACUAAGCCUAGAACCUUACCAAGGUUUGACAUCCUGCGAAUCCUGCCGAAAGGCAAGAGUGCUUUAUUGAGCGCAGUGACAGGUGUUGCAUGGCCGUCGUCAGCUCGUGUCGUGAGAUGUUGGGUUAAGUCCCGCAACGAGCGCAACCCUUAUCGUUAGUUGGAUUUUCUAACGAUACUGCCCUGGUAACAGGGAGGAAGGUGGGGAUGAGGUCAGGUCGGUAUUACCCUUAUACCUUGGGCGACAAACGCGCUACAAUGGCCGGUACAAAGGGCAGCCAAGUCGCAAGACGGAGCUAAUCCCAUCAAAGCCGGUCUCAGUUCGGAUUGGAGGCUGAAACCCGCCUCCAUGAAGCUGGAAUCGCUAGUAACGGUAGGUCAGCACACUACCGUGAAUACGUUCCCGGGUCUUGUACACACCGCCCGU
rnacentral:rRNA from 1 species